rnacentral:rRNA from 1 species
UACGUAGGUGGCAAGCGUUAUCCGGAAUUACUGGGCGUAAAGCGUGCGUAGACGGUUACAUAAGUCGGGUGUGAAAGCCCCGGGCUCAACCUGGGAAUUGCAUUCGAGACUGCGUAGCUAGGGUGCGGAAGAGGGAAGCGGAAUUUCCGGUGUAGCGGUGAAAUGCGUAGAUAUCGGAAGGAACACCAGUGGCGAAAGCGGCUUCCUGGUCCAGCACCGACGUUCAGGCACGAAAGCGUGGGGAGCAAACAGG